GGGUUCUAACAUCACCACCUAUAACUAGCACAUUCACGCGUAUCAUUAUCCUCUACCUCUUUCCACAUAAUACAAUCAUCACACUAAUUCAAGUCAUCUAUAUCUUAGAUAUUACUAUGCUUAUCAAUAUUCGAUCUUAGCAUAAUUUUCAUCAUCAUACUAUUGCACAAUACAUACAACUUAAUACAAUUACAACUCAACUAGGUUCAUCAACAGAACAACUAAGAACUAUCAUGUCCACAUCCUUCAUUUACAACAAUAUCACU
rnacentral:lncRNA from 1 species